GCGGAGCCAGCUCGCGAUUUGUCGGCCAGCUUGCGGCGAGCCUAAAGAAACGCGCUAAACGGCCGUGGCGGUGGGUUU
rnacentral:ncRNA from 1 species